rnacentral:hammerhead_ribozyme from 1 species
CUGCUGAGGAGUCCCAUACUAGGACGAAACGGCCGUCCAGCAG